GCCUGGGUGGCUCAGUCGGUUGAGCAUCUGACUUCGGCUCAGGUCAUGAUCUCACGGUUCGUGAGUUCGAGCCCCACAUCAGGCU
rnacentral:tRNA from 1 species